rnacentral:rRNA from 1 species
GGAACGCGAAGAACUUACCAGGGCUUGACAUAUGGGUGAAGCGGGGGAGACCCCGUGGCCGAGAGGAGCCCAUACAGGUGGUGCAUGGCUGUCGUCAGCUCGUGUCGUGAGAUGUUGGGUUAAGUCCCGCAACGAGCGCAACCCCGCCGCGUGUUGCCAUCGGGUGAUGCCGGGAACCCACGCGGGACCUGCGCGUCAAGGCGGAGGAGGGCUGGGGACGACGUCAAGUCAUCAUGCCCCUUAUGCCCUGGGCUGCACACGUGCUACAAUGGCCGGUACAGAGGGAUGCCACCCGCGAGGGGGAGCUGGAUCCCGGAAAGCCGGCCCAGUUCGGAUUUGGGGGCUGCAACCGCCCCAUGAAGUCGGAGUUGCUAGUAAUCGCGGAUCAGCAUGCCGCGGUGAAUGCGUUCCCGGGCCUUGUACACAC